ACAGAUCUGGAACAUCGCGUUGUGGUCUGCCUCACAUGGAUCAAGUCCAUUUAACACUGCACUUCACUUCUUUUUCUUCGGCAGCGUGCGCCACGCGUCUGACACCGCCCGCAACUCUUCUUUUUCGGCUGUGUGUACAUCAUGUCAUGCAACAUUCUUUCUUCAUCUUCUUUUUCUCCUCAUUCUUCUUCUUCUUCUUCUUCUUCUU
rnacentral:lncRNA from 1 species